AGUAAUGCUUGGGAAUCUAGCUUAUGGAGGGGGAUAACUACGGGAAACUGUAGCUAAUACCGCGUAGAAUCGAGAGAUGAAAGUGUGGGACUUCGGGCCACAUGCCAUAGGAUGAGCCCAAGUGGGAUUAGGUAGUUGGUGAGGUAAAGGCUCACCAAGCCGACGAUCUCUAGCUGGUCUGAGAGGAUGACCAGCCACACUGGGACUGAGACACGGCCCAG
rnacentral:rRNA from 1 species